UACGAAGGGGGCUAGCGUUGCUCGGAAUCACUGGGCGUAAAGCGCACGUAGGCGGCUUUUUAAGUCAGGGGUGAAAUCCUGGAGCUCAACUCCAGAACUGCCUUUGAUACUGAGAGGCUCGAGUCCGGGAGAGGUGAGUGGAACUGCGAGUGUAGAGGUGAAAUUCGUAGAUAUUCGCAAGAACACCAGUGGCGAAGGCGGCUCACUGGCCCGGUACUGACGCUGAGGUGCGAAAGCGUGGGGAG
rnacentral:rRNA from 1 species